AUUGAACGCUGGCGGCAUGCUUUACACAUGCGAGUCGAACGGUAACAGGCCGCAAGGUGCUGACGAGUGGCGAACGGGUGAGUAAUGCAUCGGAACGUGCCCAGUCGUGGGGGAUAACUACUCGAAAGAGUAGUUAAUACCGCAUACGAUCUAUGGAUGAAAGCGGGGGACCGUAAGGCCUCGCGCGAUUGGAGCGGCCGAUGUCAGAUUAGGUAGUUGGUGGGGUAAAGGCUCACCAAGCCAACGAUCUGUAGCUGGUCUGAGAGGACAACCAGCCACACUAGGACUGAGACACGGCCCAGACUCCUACGGGAGGCAGCAGUGGGGAAUUUUGGACAAUGGGCGCAAGCCUGAUCCAGCAAUGCCGCGUGCAGGAAGAAGGCCUUCGGGUUGUAAACUGCUUUUGUACGGAACGAAACGGCUCUGGUUAAUACCCGGGGCUAAUGACGGUACCGUAAGAAUAAGCACCGGCUAACUACGUG
rnacentral:rRNA from 1 species